CACGUAAGGGGCGAGCGUUGUUCGGAAUUAUUGGGCGUAAAGGGCACGCAGGCGGUUGUGCAAGUCUGAUGUGAAAGACCUGGGCUCAACUCAGGGAACGCGUUGGAAACUGCAUGACUAGAGUAUUAGAGGGGGAGUCGGAAUUCCUAGUGUAGGGGUGAAAUCUGUUGAUAUUAGGAAGAACACCGGUGGCGAAGGCGGACUCCUGGCUGAAUACUGACGCUGAGGUGCGAAAGCAUAGGGAGCAAACAGG
rnacentral:rRNA from 1 species